GGGGGAUAUUGCACAAUGGGCGAAAGCCUGAUGCAGCAACGCCGCGUGAGCGAUGAAGGCCUUCGGGUCGUAAAGCUCUGUCCUCAAGGAAGAUAAUGACGGUACUUGAGAAGGAAGCCCCGGCUAACUACGUGCCAGCAGCCGCGGUAAUACGUAGGGGGCUAGCGUUAUCCGGAAUUACUGGGCGUAAAGGGUGCGUAGGUGGUUUCUUAAGUCAGAGGUGAAAGGCUACGGCUCAACCGUAGUGAGCCUUUGAAACUGAGAAACUUGAGUGCAGGAGAGGAGAGUAGAAUUCCUAGUGUAGCGGUGAAAUGCGUAGAUAUUAGGAGGAAUACCAGUUGCGAAGGCGGCUCUCUGGACUGUAACUGACACUGAGGCACGAAAGCGUGGGGAGCAAAC
rnacentral:rRNA from 1 species